AGCCUCACUGGGUUGAGAAGAAAAGGCCAAGUUUGUGAAAUCCCUCCUGGUUGCUGUGUGGAGCCCUAGUUCAUCCACAUUUCCAACAGCUGAGUCUUCCGCACAACGGGAAAAGCACCAUUAAUUUCACUCUCCUAUCUUGGAGCAUUUAGAUCAUUUCCUGGUUUUGCUUCUUACAAACAGAGCUGCUAUGAACAUCCCUACCUGGAACUCAGGGGCCACUUUUCUCUAGGGACACAUUCAUCUGUCUGCUAGAUGCUUUUUUCUAAAACUCUACUUUCAUUUUAAAAAUUAUGACAUGGCUAUACUUGCUCAGGCCUCUAAGAUGGCAUCCUAGGACCUACUGAAUGGAGUCCCAGCAUCUCAAGGAAGGAAUGCCAGAAGCCAGAACAUCCAAGUAACAAUCUCCACCUGCAGCUGAUGCUCUCUGGGACCCAGGACCAGCCACUCUUCUCUGUGCCCCACUUUCCUCCUUUGUAAUCUAAUUACCCAGUGAUGACCAGGAUAUAAGAGGACUUGUCUGCAUUGUCUCAUGGCCACAACCACAAGAAGAGCGUCCUGCUGUCACCCCCAUUUUAUAAAUAGGGAAACUAGGUCAGGCAUGGUGGCUCACACCUGUAAUCCUAGAGCUUUGAGAGGCCAAGGCGGGAGGAACAGUUGAGACAGCAGUUUGAGACCAGCCUGGGCAACAUAGCAAGAACUCCGUCUUGACAAAAAAAAAAAAAAUUUUUUUUAAAUUAACUGGGCAUGGUGGCACACACCUGUUGUUCCAACUAUUCGAGAGGCUGAGAUGGGAGGAUCAUUUGAGCCCAGGAGAUCGAGGCUGCAGUGAGCUAGGAUCAUGCCACUGCACUCCAGCCUGGACAACAGAGUGAGACCUUAUCUCUAAAAAAUAAGAAAACUGAGGCACAGAGAAGUUAAGUAACGUGCUCAAGGUCAUGCAACUAGUAAGUGGCAGAGCCUACGUGCUUUCCCUUCAUUAAUUCAGUCAUUUAUUCAACAACUAUUUUAUUGAACAUCCACUAUGUACCCAGCCUCGGCAGUGAUCAAGAUACCCAAGAUCCUAGAUUUUACAAAAUCCACCACUUAAAAGCAGAGCAUGGGAUGGAAAGGAGACAAAAAUUAUUGUGUCUAACUUAUUUGUUAAUUUGCCUAUGGGCAGCAAUAAGUGCCAUGGGGGGAAAAAAGGUAGAGUAAUAGGAACUACUUUGGUCAGGGAAGUCCUCUCUGCAGAGUGGAGACCUCACUGUCAAGGAGAAAACAGCCAAGCAAAGGCCUAAAUCAAGGGUGUUACAAGAGAAAGGAAAAGGCAGGAGUAGAGAGGCCCCAUUGUCAGAGGCGUUUAAACCAGAGUGACUCCAUCUUGACCAGGAGCUGGGUACAAUGAGGCUGAAACCUACUGGGCUGCAUUCCCAGAUGGUUAGGCAUUCUGAGUCACAGGAUAAGAUAGGAGGUCUGCACAAAAUACAGGUCAUAAAGACCUUGCUGAUAAAACAGGAUAAGUAAAGAAGCCAGCCAAAACCCACCAAAACCAAGAUGGUGACGAGAGUGACCUGUGGUCGCCCUCACUGCUGCACUCCCACCCGCGUCAUGACAGUUUACAAAUGCCAUGGCAAUGUCAAGAAGUUACCCAAAAGGGCCAAAAAGGAGGAGGCAUAAAUAAUCCACCCCUUGUUUAGCAUAUCAUCAAGAAAUAACCAUAAAAAUGGGCAACCAGCAGCCCUUGGAUCUGCUCUGCCUAUGGAGUAGCCAUUCUUUCAUUCCUUUACUUUCCUAAUAAACUUGC
rnacentral:lncRNA from 10 species